UACGAAGGGGGCUAGCGUUGUUCGGAUUUACUGGGCGUAAAGCGCACGUAGGCGGAUCGAUCAGUCAGGGGUGAAAUCCCAGAGCUCAACUCUGGAACUGCCUUUGAUACUGUCGAUCUGGAGUAUGGAAGAGGUGAGUGGAAUUCCGAGUGUAGAGGUGAAAUUCGUAGAUAUUCGGAGGAACACCAGUGGCGAAGGCGGCUCACUGGACUGGUAUUGACGCUGAGGUGCGAAAGCGUGGGGAGCAAACAGG
rnacentral:rRNA from 1 species